ensembl:lncRNA
CUGGGAUAGAAGAUUCUGUUUCUGAAAGGUUCUGAUUUAGAUGGGGAGGGUUUCUGUCAGUAUUGUGCAGGUUGGGCCUAAAUGGUAUGACAUAGUGGAUAUUUUAAAGCCGGACAAAGAGAGCUGAAUUGAAACGCACCAACUUCUGUCCGUCUCUGUGGCGGAUUUAAUAUGAGCAGAGUAAUAUUCUGGUGCCUCAGAAGGAAUUCAACUCUCUCUCAGACUCUGGUGCAGCAAACCAAAGGAUCAAAGAGAGCUGAGAGGAAAGGGCAAAUAUCGUUCUCUUCGUCAUCGUUGUUUGUUCUUCUUCUUCCUUGUUUCAUCUUCUUAGCAGCAUGAAUGAUCAACACAAACAGAGCACUGUGCCUUCACUGUGAGUUUACCGACUCAGAUUCACAGGCCCUGUCCCAUAACACCCUACUCCUUCACCCCUCACUCCCUUCUGUCCCAUAGUCUCUCCCCUCAGUCUCUUCCCUCUCUCCCUACUGUCCCGUAGUCUCUCCCCUCAGUCUCUUCCCUCUCUCCCUACUGUCCCAUAGUCUCUUCCCUCAUCUCUCCCCUCAGUCUCUUCCCUCCCUCUCCCUACUGUCCCGUAGUCUCUCCCCUCAGUCUCUUCCCCCUCUCUCCCUACUGUCCCGUAGUCUCUCCCCUCAGUCUCUUCCCUCUCUCCCUACUGUCCCGUAGUCUCUCCCCUCAGUCUCUUCCCUCUCUCCCUACUGUCCCGUAGUCUCUCCCCCUCAGUCUCUUCCCUCUCUCCCUACUGUCCCUGUAUCUCUCCCCUCAGUCUCUUCCCUCUCUUCCUACUGUCCCAUAGUCUCUCCCCUUAGUCUCUUCCCUCUCUCCCUACUGUCCCAUAGUCUCUCCCCUCAGUCUCUUCCCUCUCUCCCUACUGUCCCGUAGUCUCUCCCCUCAGUCUCUUCCCUCUCUCCCUACUGUCCCGUAGUCUCUCCCCUCAGUCUCUUCCCUCUCUCCCUACUGUCCCGUAGUCUCUCCCCUCAGUCUCUUCCCUCUCUCCCUACUGUCCCGUAGUCUCUCCCCUCAGUCUCUUCCCUCUCUCCCUACUGUCCCGUAGUCUCUCCCCCCUC